rnacentral:rRNA from 1 species
UAGGUGGGAGACUAUGAUAUUUACCUUUCGGGGUAAAUUGAGUCAUCAGUGAGAUACCACUCUGAUAAAACUAAAAUUCUAACCUUGUACUGUUAGCCAGUCAGGGGACAGUUUCAGGCGGGCAGUUUGACUGGGGCGGUCGCCUCCCAAAAGGUAACGGAGGCGUACAAAGGUUUUCUCAGGUCGGUCAGAAAUCGAUCGAAGAGUGUAAAGGCAAAAGAAAGCUUGACUGUGAGACUUACAAGUCGAACAGAGACGAAAGUCGGUCUUAGUGAUCUGGCGAUAUUGAGUGGAAAAGUCGUCACUUAACGGAUAAAAGUUA